rfam:Gossypium arboreum cultivar AKA8401 contig_991_1, whole genome shotgun sequence.
UGUUAAAAAUUUCAUCAAUUUGUAUAGUUAAAAACUGACGUGGCUAACAGAAUAAUCAGACAGUGAUAUAUGACAUGUCACGUGUAAAUCAUGUUGACGUACAAGGGUCGGUUGUUAACAAUAGAAUUGAAUGAAAUUUUUAAUA